UUUUUUUUUUCCCUGCCCUAGGUAAUUUUGAUUCUGACACUGGUUGACAAACCCUAACGUACAGAGGUAGUCCUUUACAGAAUACAACGCGGUAUUCUGCUUCCACUUUUGUUAAACGUCAAAAAUCUCCCCACUACCCGCAAGAGGACAAUGGCUUUGAAAUUCUGCCAUUUCGAAUAUAGAUUUCAAAUAUAGAGUCUCUGUAUUCUGCAUUUAUCAAUCAGCUUUCAUAAUUUGAGCUUUAAUUUCUGUAAUUUGUAUUAUGGAAACAGUCAUUUUAUCCUUAUUCUUGAUAUGAAAAGGUAUAAAAUGAAAUCCGUAAAUUAAUCAUUUACAUAGUGCACUUUUACAUAUGCCUGUGCAUCAAAUUUAUAAAUUAAAUAGUAACAGUAGGAGAAAUAUCUCUUUCAGAUCAACACGCCCAUCACCCACCCUUCCAUACCCACAGAGAAUCUGAUACUGUCUUGCUGAGUUGAAAACCACCGCUUUAGCCAGUGAGGCUCCAGGAAGAGCCCCUAACCAUGUUAGUCUCUCUGCCUGGAAGGCUUUUUGUUCCCCUGAUGUACAUUUAUUGAAGAUUUAGUGUGUUCCAGGUACUGUGCUAUGCCAACGUAUCCCUCCCUCCUGGAGAGAAGCAGCUGAUUCUUUCUCUGAGGGCCACAGACCCCUGAGUCUGCACUUCUGCUGCAGCCCUGUCCUGCCAGGACCGUGUUUCUUGUCUCUGUCCCUAGACUGUGCAGCUUCUCACACCAGGGACGGCAUCUUGUUCAUCUUUGUAUCUCAGUCACUGGCACGGUACCCAGGAUCGGUGGGAACUCAGUGCAUGUUGAUGAAUGAGUUCAUAAACGAAUGAUGAUAGCCCAGUGUCUGGCACAUCACAGAUGAUCGAUAAAUAUUGGUUGAAAUGCUACUAAACUGUAAGUGUGGGUCACAGAAACAAAGGCAGGCAGAAUUUCAAGAAGGAGGGUUUGUUGAACACCAUCAAAAAGAGACCAAAAGAUCAAGGAGGGUAAAUACUAGGGGGCGGGGGAGAAAACACUGAAUUUGACCAAAAAAAAGGGAAGUUAAUAUUAAAUCCUAGAAAAAAAAUUUGCACAAAGUUCGUCACAAAACCAACAAGUGAAUAUCCGUAUUUGUGGUGCCUCGUUGAAUCCGGUUACUGGGAGUUCCCGUCAUGGCUCAGUGGAACCGAAUCUGACUAGCAUCCAUGAGGACACGGGUUUGAUCCCUGGCCUCACUCAGUGGGUUAAUGAUCCAGCAUUGCCGUGAGCUGUGGUGUAGGUCACAGAUGAGGCUCUGAUCUAGCAUUCCUGUGGCUGUGGUGUAGGCCAGUGGCUACAGCUCUGAUUUGACCCCCAGCCUGGGAAUCUCCAUAUGCCAUGGGUGUGGCCUUUACAAAGACUCCCCCCCCCCCCAAAUCCUGUUACUGGGGAAGCUCCUCUAAGCCUGGCAAUUUAUUAUGCCAGAAUCUUCACUAACUAGCUAGUUAAAAUGCCCAUACAUUAACCAUCAAAGCUUAAACAUCUGCCACUCACACUUGAAUUUUAAGUUUAACCAUACUGCUACCCUUCCUAUGAAAAGAUGGGACCACUAGCUGAGGGCUUAUCACCCCAGACACUUUCUCCCUCCACUAAUUCUUGGAACAUGUAUUUGUGUUACAAACUGUGCUGAGUAGAGUCCAUUCUUCAGCUAUCGGGGCAGCUACUAUUUUAGAGCUUGUUUGUACUUGUGGCUCCAUUUUUCAAAUCCUAAAUCCUAGACUUGCUGGAUUCCCAGGGCAGUUAAACUCCUGGGAAAUUCCUCUUAAGAAACAUUUAGAACUCUUCUUGCCAUUUGCUGUACCAAAAACAGCACUAGCGUGGGCAGCUAGAGCAUCUCCCUUCAGUAGAAACAGUGCCCAGAGUCCGUCCUGGGGAACCCUGGUUUACGUGCUGGGUUCAAAUUAAGCUGAAAGCUUCUUUACUGCAGGAUUUGCCAGAGUCUUUUAUAUACAAAGAUGUAUGGGGGUGGGGGCUUAGAUUAAAAUAGAGUGUAAAGUGUUUUCUAAACUCGCUUGACUUUUUUUUUCCCCUGGGACCAUUUUAUGGGAUAUUGGGAAAUAGUGAUAUAGAUUAUGUUCAUUUAUUCACUCAACAAAAAUUUGGGGUGUCAGUUGUGUGCCUGGUGGUGUGUGAAGACCUGUGGAUAAAGUGCUAACACACACACAUAGGACUGUCCUUAUGAAGACUUGGGGGGAGAGAGACAGAAAUCAAAUGCACUAAUUAUUUGUAAAUGUAAUUAUUCGUAAAGCAAAUAAUUACAACCAAUGUCAAACUGCGAUUGUAACAGGUGCAAUGGAGAGGCACACUACAUGGCAAGUGAGAGUCUGUAAUAGGGUAACCUGGAAAUGAUCCCUGAAGUAUAAACAGGAGUUCACAUGGUGAUCUGGGUGGAGAAGAACAUAUGUCCCAGAAUGGGAGGGAGCAAAGUGAGUGUGUGGGACAGAAAAAAAGGCCAUGGGGAUGGGGAGCCAGAUGAGGCUAGAAUGGUAGAAAGUCCCAAACCAUAUACGGCCUCAGAGGCCAUUUUAGGAAUUUUUGUCUUCAUCUUAGAAGCAAAGGAAACCAUCAGAUUUUUGUUUUAGAAAGAUGGUUCAAGGUGCUGAGUGGAGACUGAUGGGAGGCAGGCCAGGGUGGAUCUAGGUGGACUGUUUAGAAGGCUACUGAAGUGGUCCAGGAUGACAGUAAUUUGCUGAUGGUGGUGGAAGAGAUAAGUUCAACCUCAUUGGUCUAGAUCAAGUCUGUCUUCUGCAAAGCAGUUGAACUCACACAGAUAAUAAAAACCCACACAGGCUUUAUAAUAACAUAGAGAUACCCAUCCACUUCACCAGGAAUCUCCUCUCUGCACCGGAGGGAUUAGGGGUGAGGAAGAGGUGAUCUGCUCACAUCUCAAUUCAUUCAAGCAAAGCACUGUGUAAAAGUUUUUGUCCUCAGAUUAGAGAUGCUCUCUGGAGCAUCAUUUGUCAAUAGGAUCCAGAGAGAGAGUCCCCCGCUGUAACUAUGUUUUUUGAGGUCUGUCUUUUACCCUAUGUGAGUGUAGGUUUGUUUCCCAGAAUCCAGGAAUUUCAAAGUUGGGAAGGGUCACAGAGAUCAUCUUCACCCUAAACUGUGUGCAAGAAUUCCUUCUACAUAUCUGAAAACACCUCAAACAGGUGUCAAUCCAUUCUAUCCCCAAUUACACGAACUAUGAUGACUCUAGCUAUAGCUGUCUCAUCCUGCCCCCAAACCUCUGGGGUCUUUAGAGCUUAAGCACUAUCUCACAAUUCACCCAAAACAAUCCCUUACAUUUCCAUAGUUUAUAUACUAUCCCAAUUCCUGGCAAGAGCUUCAAUUUACAGGGUCAGCACCCUUUCCAAAACAUCACUUGGAACAUAGAAUUCUAUACAGUGCAUUCUAUACUGGUCUGGAAUUUUACAACAAACACAUAUAACUCUCCAACUGCACCAGCCCACAUUGAGUUCUCUUACCACUAAACUUUCGUAAGUAACUUUACAUUUCAAUAAUUCAUGACUUUUUUUUUUCCCCUCACCCAUGGCAUAGAGAAGUUCCUGGGCCAGGGAUCAAACAUGUGCCACAGCAGUGACCCAAGCAGCAGCAGAGACAAUGUGCACCAUAAGAGAACUCCUCAGUGACUAAUUUUAAGUGUAUGUGAUUUUUGUCCCCAUCCAAGAAAAUUCUGGGUAGAGAUCAUGUAAUAUAAUUUCUCCCUAUAUUUUCACAAUUCUGGGCACAUAGAACAUGCUUUUAAAAAGAUCAGUUGAUUGAUUAAAGGAGCUCCUAUCUUUUUUUUUCUUUGUCUUUUGUCACUUUAGGGCCGUACCCACGGUAUAUGGAGGUUCCCAGGCUAGCGGUUGGUUGAAUCAGAGCUUCAGCUGACGGCCUACACCACAGCCACAGCAAUGUGGGGUCCAAGCUGCAUCUUUGACCUAUACCACAGCUCACAGCAACACCAGAUCCUUAGCCCACUGAGCAAGGCCAAGGAUCAAACCUGCAUCCUUAUGGAUACUAGUUGAGUUCAUUACCCACUGAACCACGAUGGGAACUCUAGGAGCUCAUAUCCUUUGAAAUGUCAUGGAAAUACAUUCCAUGGUCAUGUUAAUAUAUACACACAACAUCUGCAGAAGUCCAUUUUCUCCACUAGGUUAUUUACAGCUGUGUGUGGGGGGGGGUUGGAUUUCCCCAAAGCUGGCUUCUUCUUGCUUAUAGUGGGCUCAUAGAGAUGGCUUGUGAGAUCUCAGAAAUUAAUUGCAUUUUAUGAGAAGAUGUAUGUACUAAACACACCAGGAAAUAUAGAAUCUACAGCUUUUUGCCCAGUUGAAACACAACUGGUGACAGAAGCACUCACAUUCUAUUAACUUUAUAACCUCACCAGAAUUAUAGGUGAAUGGAAUUUGACAUGUGAGAUAUAGGAAGUCUACAUGGAAUACACCAUGCAGAACUCUUUAAAUUGGAGUUUUUACCUGACAUAGGGAGCAGCAAGAGGAUUUUGUCUAAUACCAAAUAAGGAGCAGCAAAUAAAGCUUUUAUUGCCUUAUUUAGAUGUUUUGUCCAAUAAUUGGAAGCCCCUGAAUUUCUUUUUUGUUUGUUGGUUUUUGUCUUUUAGGGCCACACCCCGGCAUACGGAGGUUCCCAGGCUAGGGAUCAAAUUGGAGCUGUAGCUGCCGGCCCAUGCCACAGCCACAGCCACACCAGAUUCGAGCCACAUCUGUGACCUACACCACAGCUCAUGACAAUGCCGGAUCCUUAACCCACUGGGGCCAGGGAUAGAACCGCAUCCUCAUAGAUACUAGUCAGAUUCAUUUCCACGGAGCCAAAACAGGAAAUCCAGAGAGCCCCUGGAUGUCCAUCUCCCUUGCAAGACACCUAAACUUUUGCCUCUAAACUGCAUACAAUCAAAUGAAAUACUCUCUUCCAGUUGUUAUAAACUACUGAGGUUAGAGGACCAUUUUAAAAAAAAUUUAUUGAAGUGUAGUUAUUUACAAUGCUGUUAAUUUCUACUGUACUGCAAAGUGAUUCAAUUAUACAUAUGUACAUAUACAUAUAUGUUCUUUAUAUUCUUUUCCAUUAUGGUUUAUCACAGGAUAUUGAAUAUAGUUCCCUGUGCUAUACAGUAACACCUUGCUGUUUAUCCAUUCUAUAUAUAAUAGCAUGCUUCUGCUAAUCCCCAAUUACCAUCCUUCUCUCACCCACACCCCCAAAAUCUGUUGUUUGUUUCCUCGAUAAGAUCAUUUGUAUAUUUUAGAUUCCACAUAUAAGUGGUAUCAAUGUGGUAUCUGUCUUUCUCUUUUGUGACUUACUUUACUUAGUGUGAUAAUCUCUAGGUCCAUUCAUAUCACAGCAAAUGGCAUUAUUUCAUCCUUUUUUACAGCUUAGUAGUAUUCCAGGGUGUGUGUGUGUGUGCGUGUGUGUGUGUGUGCGUGUGUGUGUGUGUGGGUGUAUGUUUCUUUUAUCCAUUCAUCUGGCGGCGGACAUUUAGGUUGUGUCCAUGUCUUGGCUAUUGUAAAUAGUAAAGCAUCAUUCUUAAAGCAGGCAGAUACUAACACAGUUACUAUGUAUUUUCCCACUACAUUAGUUACCUAAGGAAUUGUCUAUAUCAUUUGUUAUAAAAUAUUUUCCUGUCAAAGUACUGCAAAGAAGGGGAGAAUGAACACUGGGGAGUCACCCAUAAUAUGUAAGGAUGACUUCAAAACAAAUGCUUUUCACAGACUGGGAAAAAAAACAAAUAAUUCUAUAGGACAUAUAUUAUUCUUCUUAAAUAUCUGUAAAUUAUAUUGGCUCUCUAAACCUCAGUUUCCUUAGCUGAUAAAAAAAAAAAAGAGAAUUAUAAGCCUAUCCAUCUCCACAGGUUGUUGCGAGGCUAAAGCAAGCCAAUGUGAGGAAAGUUUUAGCAGAGCACCUGGUAUGUCAUUACUCAGUAAAGGCUGGCUUUUAUUUUUAUUAUCUAGUUGUGAGUUAUGUAAUCUCAUUUAUUUGUUCAGAUUUCAACCUGUGGGAAGGAGAGGCUGCUGCUGAAGAGCAUGUCGUUUCCAACAACCAGGUUCACACGGGAUAUGGUGGAAAGCGACCCACAGUGGUAGUUACUGGCCUCAGGUUCUGUCCCACACCCUGCGGAUUUAUGUGCCAGAUCCAGAAAGUCACAGAACAUAGAAUUCUAGGAUUUUAUGGGAGGCAGAUUUUGUCAAGAGAAGCUAGGACUCUAGAUUUGGGCUCCUGCUCCUUUCCCUUUGACUCUACUGCCUCUUUCUUUAAAACAAAACAAACAAAAAUUACCACCACUGGCACAGCUGUAAUUAGCCUCUCUAAAUCUCAGUUUCCAAGUCUGCAAUUAAGAUAAUCAUAUUUGCCCUAACGCAUAUGAUUACUAUGAGGAUUAAAUUGGAUAAUGUAAGGGAAAUCAUAAAAUGACUGUUUUAAUUGACUCUUGCUAAGUAUGUACCAUCAGCUUUAUAUACAUUGUGUCUUGAAAUUCACCCUGUAGGUAGUUGUGGAAGAGACUGUUGGUGACCCCAAGACCUGUUCUCCCUCUUUU
ensembl:lncRNA